UAAAAUUCUCCACCAACCUUCCAACUAGUGGUUUUUGCAGCCACUGAUGAUCAUUGCUUAGAUACAUUAUUUCAUUAGGGAUUGCAAAGUUGUGAUUUUCUAAUUUAUCUUUAUUCUUGAGUUUAUGAGUAUAUACCCUCUUCUAAAAAACAAACACAUAAACAAAAGUUCUUUCCCUCACAAAUUAGAGAAUUCCCCUGAAAUAGACACCCUAUAAGAAAGGCAGGCUUGAUUCUUAACCAUUAUUAUCCAUGUUUUAGAAAUCUUGAAUGGGUUCUAGCAAACUAAAAAUGAAUCCCUGCUCCCUUUGGAAUAUCAUUUUCAAAAAUGCAGUUUUGUAUAUUUGAUGUAUUUCAGGGCGUCACAGUCAUUAUUCUUUUUGGUGUCUGAA
rnacentral:lncRNA from 1 species